UACGUAGGGUGCGAGCGUUAAUCGGAAUUACUGGGCGUAAAGCGUGCGCAGGCGGUUUUGUAAGUCUGAUGUGAAAGCCCCGGGCUCAACCUGGGAAUGGCAUUUGGGACUGCAAGGCUGGAGUAUGGCAGAGGAGACUAGAAUUCCUGGUGUAGCAGUGAAAUGCGUAGAUAUCAGGAGGAAUACCGAUGGCGAAGGCAGGUAUCUGGGCCAAUACUGACGCUCAUGCACGAAAGCGUGGGGAGCAAACGGG
rnacentral:rRNA from 1 species